UCGUCGGUGGCAUCAUCGCCACCGCAACACACCAAAAAGAAUAUGACGACGGUGCUUACUGCUAGCCCCAAAACUAGGUCAAAGGUGUCGGUUUCUGCUGCUGUUGUCUCCUUCAACAAGCAGCAGGACGGAGGUAUUCCACGCACCUACUUCGCCAAGCAGACUGACGGAGGUCUUUUGAAAGACUACUUCGCCAAGAAACAUGACGGAGGUAUUCGACGCACCUACUUUGCCAAGCAGUAUGAUGGAGGUCUUUUGAAAGACUACUUCGCCAAGGAAUAUGACGGAGGUGAAUGGGCUGCCUUCUUCGGCAAACAGCAUGACGGGGGUAUUCGACGCACCUACUUCACCAAGGAACAUGACGGAGGUGAAUGGGCUGCCUUCUUCGGCAAACAGCAUGACGGGGGUAUUCGACGCACCUACUUCACCAAGGAACAUGACGGAGGUGAAUGGGCUGCCUUCUUCGGCAAACAGCAGGACGAAGGUAUCCGUCGCACCUACUUCGCCAAGCAACAUGACAGAGGUCUUUUGCGAGAUUAUUUUGCCAAGCAAGAAGACGGAGGUCUUUUACGAGACUAUUUCGCCAAGGAACAGGACGGAGGUCUCUUACGGGACUACUUCGCGAAGGACGAAGGUCUCUUGCGAGACUACUUCGCGAUGGACGGAGGACUUUUGCGAGACUACUUCGCCAAGGAACAGGAUGGAGGUCUCUUGCGAGACUACUUCGCCAAGGAACAGGACGGAGGUCUCAGACAAGGCUA
rnacentral:lncRNA from 1 species